AUGGAGAGACUCACCCGGUGGUGCCCCCACCACACUCAGCCUGGGGACCUGGUGGCUCUCCCAGCCUGCAGCAUCCCCGCGGCACCAGGGCCACGGGUGCCACCAGCCCAUCGGCCACAUCCAGCGAGGGCGAGGGGCCACGUCCAUCCAGCGGGAGCCACGCGGGUGUCCUCGUCCCGGCCAGGCUGUCCCCGCUCACACCGUGGACUCCUUGGCAGCCGCCCAGGCUCUCUGGCAGCCGUAGAGCCACUUGAUGACUCGGGCGUUGCGCUCCACCACGGAGACGGCGGAGCCCAACCGGGCGUCCGGCUCCUCCUCGCCCGGCCCCGCGUCCCCCUCGCUGCCCCCCGAGGCCCGGCCGGGCUCGGACUCGCAGGAUCCGGGGGGCCGGGCCGAGGCGCUGUCCCAGCCCGCCGGCCCGAAGCGCUCCCGGCCCAGCAGCUCCACCAGCGCCCGGUCCAGCCCGCAGUAGUUGAAGAAGCGCUCCUGCUCCGACAGCGGCAGCGACACGCGCAGAGCCAGCGGCUCCUUCCCGGGGGUGCCGGGGGGCUGCUCGGCUGCGGGAGAUGGGGGAUGGCAGGACAUGGGGAAGAUGCCACCGCUGUCACCGCCGCUGCCGCCUCCCGGUGUCCGCGCCUCGUCCUUCUCCGCCGGCGCCCACAGCAUGGGGGUCUCGGGGCUCUGGGGGGCUCUGGGUCCCUCGCCCAGCGCCCUGGCGGGGGGCGAGCUGGGGGGCCUGUCUCUGAGGGGUCCCUGGAAGAGGCGCCGCACCAGCCCGGAGCCCUUGGUGUUCUCCUUGUCCCCGGCCAGGCAGUCCCGUUUCUGCCGGUAGAUGACGAGCGAGUCGGGUCUCAGCAGGCGCCGGCUGCCGCUGCGGCGCGACACGGGGGACUGCGGGCACGGCAGCUUGCGGGACCCGUCCCGGCUCAGCUCCGAGCCCGGGCACAGCUCGCUGCACUGCUGCCGGCCCAGCCGCCGCCGCCCGUGCGGGGACAACCGGGGCGAGCCCCGCAGCGCCGGCUCCUGCCGCCUGUUGAUCACCUGCUGGGACUUGACGUACUUGGCCUUGUCGGCCUCCAGGCGCUCCACGGCGCUGGGUCUCCGGCCCCCGCUGCCCCCCGACCCCUGCGGGCACUCGGGGCCCCGGCUCAGCCAGGCCAGGGGGGAGCCGCGCCCGGGGGCCACGAGGCGCAGGUUGCUGGAGGCGCAGACGGCGAGAGUGGGGCUGCCCAAGGGCACCAUGGCCCCGGAACGGCGCUGCUGAUCUCUCUGUGCCCUUCGGAGUGA
rnacentral:lncRNA from 1 species